UGAACGCUGGCGGCGUGCCUAACACAUGCAAGUCGAACGGAAACAUGACGCUUCGGAGGCUUCGGCCAAUGUUUGUUUGUUUAGUGGCGGACGGGUGAGUAACGCGUGGAUAACCUGCCAUAUACAGGGGGAUAACAGUUAGAAAUGACUGCUAAUACCGCAUAAGCGCACGGAACCGCAUGAUUCUGUGCGAAAAACUCCGGUGGUAUAUGAUGGAUCCGCGUCUGAUUAGCCAGUUGGCGGGGUAACGGCCCACCAAAGCGACGAUCAGUAGCCGGCCUGAGAGGGUGAACGGCCACAUUGGGACUGAGACACGGCCCAAACCCCUACGGGAGGCAGCAGUGGGGGAUAUUGCACAAUGGGGGAAACCCUGAUGCAGCCGACGCCGCGUGAGUGAAGAAGUAUUUCGGUAUGUAAAGCUCUAUCAGCAGGGAAGAUAAUGACGGUACCUGACUAAGAAGCACCGGCUAAAUACGUGCCAGCCGCGGC
rnacentral:rRNA from 1 species